CCUACGGGAGGCAGCAGUGGGGAAUAUUGGACAAUGGGGGGAACCCUGAUCCAGCCAUGCCGCGUGUGUGAAGAAGGCCCUCGGGUUGUAAAGCACUUUCAGUGAGGAAGAACGCCUGGUGGUUAAUACCCAUCAGGAAAGACAUCACUCACAGAAGAAGCACCGGCUAACUCCGUGCCAGCAGCCGCGGUAAUACGGAGGGUGCGAGCGUUAAUCGGAAUUACUGGGCGUAAAGCGCGCGUAGGUGGCUUGAUAAGCCGGUUGUGAAAGCCCCGGGCUCAACCUGGGAACGGCAUCCGGAACUGUCAAGCUAGAGUGCAGGAGAGGAAGGUAGAAUUCCCGGUGUAGCGGUGAAAUGCGUAGAGAUCGGGAGGAAUACCGGUGGCGAAGGCGGCCUUCUGGACUGACACUGACACUGAGGUGCGAAAGCGUGGGUAGCAAACAGGAUUAGAUACCCCUGUAGUC
rnacentral:rRNA from 1 species